rnacentral:rRNA from 1 species
UACGUAGGGGGCAAGCGUUGUCCGGAUUUAUUGGGCGUAAAGAGCGUGUAGGCGGCUAGGUAGGUCCGUUGUGAAAACUCGAGGCUCAACCUCGAGACGCCGGUGGAAACCAUCUAGCUAGAGUCCGGAAGAGGAGAGUGGAAUUCCUGGUGUAGCGGUGAAAUGCGUAGAGAUCAGGAGGAACACCCGUGGCGAAGGCGGCCCUCUGGCUCGACCCUGACGCUGAGGCGCGAAAGCGUGGGGAGCGAACGGG